rnacentral:rRNA from 1 species
GAUGAACGCUGGCGGCGUGCUUAACACAUGCAAGUCGAACGAAGCACCUUGAUUUCUUCGGAUUGAUUGGUGACUGAGUGGCGGACGGGUGAGUAACGCGUGGGUAACCUGCCUCACACAGGGGGAUAACAGUUAGAAAUGACUGCUAAUACCGCAUAAGACCACAGUACCGCAUGGUACAGUGGUAAAAACUCCGGUGGUGUGAGAUGGACCCGCGUCUGAUUAGCUAGUUGGUGGGUAACGGCCCACCAAGGCGACGAUCAGUAGCCGACCUGAGAGGUGACCGGCACAUUGGGACUGAGAUACGGCCCAGACUCCUACGGGAGGCAGCAGUGGGGAAUAUUGCACAAUGGGCGAAAGCCUGAUGCAGC